GGCUUAGUGGUCUAGUAGUAUGAUUCUCGCUUCGGGUGCGAGAGGUCCCGGGUUCAAUUCCCGGCUGAGCCC
rnacentral:tRNA from 1 species